AUUGAACGCUGGCGGCAGGCUUAACACAUGCAAGUCGAGCGGAGAUGAGGUGCUUGCACCUUAUCUUAGCGGCGGCCGGAUGAGUAAUGCUUAGGAAUCUGCUUAUUAGUGGGGGCCAACAUUCCGAAAGUAAUGCUAAUACCGCAUACGCCCUACGAGGGAAAGCAGGGGACCUUCGUACCUUGCGCUACUAGAUGAGCCGAAGGAGGAUUAGCUAGUUGGUGGGGUAAAGGACUACCAAGGCGACGCUCUGUAGCGUGUCUGAGAGGAUGAUCCGCCACACUGGGACUGAGACACGGCCCAGACUCCUACGGGAGGCAGCAGUGUGGAAUAUUGGACAAUGGGCGGAAGCCUGAUCCAGCCAUGCCGCGUGUGUGAAGAAGGCCUUUUGGUUGUAAAGCACUUUAAGCGAGGAGGAGGCUACCUGGAUUAAUACUCUAGGAUAGUGGACGUUACUCGCAGAAUAAGCACCGGCUAACUCUGUGCCAGCAGCCGCGGUAAGAC
rnacentral:rRNA from 1 species